rnacentral:rRNA from 1 species
AUUGAACGCUGGCGGCAUGCUUUACACAUGCAAGUCGAACGGUAACAGGGUGCUUGCACCGCUGACGAGUGGCGAACGGGUGAGUAAUGCGUCGGAACGUGCCGAGUAGUGGGGGAUAACGCAGCGAAAGUUGUGCUAAUACCGCAUACGUACUGAGGUAGAAAGUGGGGGACCUUCGGGCCUCACGCUAUUCGAGCGGCCGACGUCUGAUUAGCUAGUUGGUGAGGUAAUGGCUCACCAAGGCGACGAUCCGUAACUGGUCUGAGAGGAUGAUCAGUCACACUGGAACUGAGACACGGUCCAGACUCCUACGGGAGGCAGCAGUGGGGAAUAUUGGACAAUGGGCGAAAGCCUGAUCCAGCCAUGCCGCGUGUGUGAAGAAGGUCUUCGGAUUGUAAAGCACUUUAAGCUGGGAGGAAGGGCAGUAAGCUAAUACCUUGCUGUUUUGACGUUACCGACAGAAUAAGCACCGGCUAACUCUGUGCCAGCAGCCGCCGUAAAAC